rnacentral:rRNA from 1 species
UACGUAGGGUGCAAGCGUUGUCCGGAAUUAUUGGGCGUAAAGAGCUCGUAGGCGGUUUGUCGCGUCUGCUGUGAAAACUCGGGGCUUAACCCCGGGCCUGCAGUGGAUACGGGCAGACUAGAGGUAGGCAGGGGAGAAUGGAAUUCCCGGUGUAGCGGUGAAAUGCGCAGAUAUCGGGAGGAACACCGGUGGCGAAGGCGGUUCUCUGGGCCUUACCUGACGCUGAGGAGCGAAAGCGUGGGGAGCGAACAGG